rnacentral:lncRNA from 1 species
UUGCAACUUCCAUUCAAAAUCAAUGAAGUGUCCAGUUAUAAACACAUAACCGAGUGUUUGAUUUGAAGUCCACAUGUCUAGUGUAAGACAAACUCGCCCCGGAAUACCCUCAAUAAGCUUCAUGAGGCUUUGCUUUUCCCUCAGGUAAGUUGCAACGCAAUCCCCUUGAACAGUGUUGAAACUGACUUUGUCGAACCGAGGCUGAAGAUUCUGAACAAAAGCUAUGAAUCCAGGAUGCUCAACCAUGUGAAGAGGAUACUCAUGCAUGAUGAUCAUUCUUGCAAUUUCAUGGCGGCAACGGUCCUGAUCGAAUGGUAUGAAAGGUGAACUGGGAGAUCUGUAGCGCCGCUUUCGUGGUUCACCUCCUCCAGUCUUCGGGCUAUAUGGGGUCAAUUGAUUGUUAUAUUGGUCACGUAGGAGUGCCGGACAGGUACCCUUAGCAAUGUGACGUUUGAGGUGGCUGGUCCCUGCUACCUUGGAACCAGUACUAUAAGCGAAACUUUGUUUGCAACGGUUACAGCAUGCUCUUCUACAUCCAGCACUCACAGUUUCAAUGGUGAAGUACU